rnacentral:rRNA from 1 species
UUGCUUUCUUUGCUGGCGACCGGCGCACGGGUGAGUAACACGUAUCCAACCUGCCCUUUACUCGGGGAUAGCCUUUCGAAAGAAAGAUUAAUACCCGAUAGUAUAAUGAUUCCGCAUGGUUUUAUUAUUAAAGGAUUCCGGUAAAGGAUGGGGAUGCGUUCCAUUAGGUUGUUGGUGAGGUAACGGCUCACCAAGCCUUCGAUGGAUAGGGGUUCUGAGAGGAAGGUCCCCCACAUUGGAACUGAGACACGGUCCAA